GGCCCAAUGGUCUAGACGUAUGAUACACGCUUCGGGUUUUCCCGCUUACUAGUUAAGCUGCUAUGUGUGUGGUCCCGGGUUCAAUUCCCGGUUGGGCCC